rnacentral:rRNA from 1 species
GACGAACGCUGGCGGCGUGCUUAACACAUGCAAGUCGAGCGGUAAGGCCCUCGGGUACACGAGCGGCGAACGGGUGAGUAACACGUGGGUGACCUGCCUCUAGCUCUGGGAUAAGCCUGGGAAACUGGGUCUAAUACCGGAUAUGACUCCACGGCGCAUGUUGUGGGGUGGAAAGCCUUGUGUGGCUAGAGAUGGGCCCGCGGCCUAUCAGCUUGUUGGUGGGGUGAUGGCCUACCAAGGCGACGACGGGUAGCCGGCCUGAGAGGGCGACCGGCCACACUGGCACUGACACACGGGCCAGACUCCUACGGGAGGCAGCAGUGGGGAAUUUUGGGCAAUGGGCGAAAGCCUGACCCAGCAACGCCGCGUGAGGGAGGAAAUCCUUCGGGAUGUAAACCUCACAAGCAAGGGAAGAGAGCUACGGGCUGAAUAAUCCCGUAGUGCGACGGUACCUUGCGUAAGCCACGGCUAACUACGUGCCAGCAGCUGCAGUAAG